AAGACUAUACUUUCAGGGAUCGUUUCUGUAGUUUGUUACCAAAUAAGGGAACAUAUGCAAAGCCCCUAGCAUGAGUUCAGCAGCCAAAAAGAUGAGCAGAAAUGGGGACCUGGAUGCUGUGGGUUGGGGGAGAGUGUAGGAAUGCACAAAAAAUCCAUGUAGCUAAGAUGUGGGUCAUGGGCAGCCCUUGAGCCCAACCUGUGGACCCAGACUCACAGUGGC